CAGUUUAACAUUUCAUCAGUUUAUCAGUUUAAAAUGUUUAUAAUUUUAACAUGUUUCUAAUGUUUCUAAUGUUCAGCUCUUAUUAGUUUGAGUUCCAUGGUUCCGGCUCUGUUGGCUGUCACUGCUUUGAGUUUGAAGAGGGAGGAGGACUUCAGUAGACCGUUCUGCCCGCCUCCUCCUCUGUGUGAAGAACUGGUCCUGAUUCCGGACUCAUAGGGAUCCAAGAAACCCUGCAGCAUGUCAGAGAAACUACCGAUCCCCCGGUUACCGGUGACCGGUCCUUCUCAUAGACCGGGCAGGAAGAAGAAGAAGACUGAGGAAGAGAAAACCGAGAUCAGGAGGAAUGUGGACCGAGCCAGGGCCCAGACCCGGGUCAACAUCGGGACCGCUUUCCAGGAGUGGAGACGGUUAAAAAAGGUCAAAGGGUUUAAGAGUGACGCCGUGGUGGCUCACUUCCUGCUGGAGAGUUAUGAGAGGGAAACAUCAACCCCAAUGCCAACGCCAGUCAAAUCUGAAUUUGUGAGACCCCCUUCUCCUCCUCCACCUCCUCCACCCCCCCCACCCCUGUGUCACCUGAUCCUUCAGAUUGUCCCUCAGACCGAGAUGAAGACUUCUCCGUAGCCGAGGUUGAGGAGUCAGACCGCUGCGUCCAGCAGCUCUUCAGCCAUUGGAUGAAAGCAUGGUGUCACUUGAACUGAGUCUAGAGGAGUUCAAUGACCUGAAACUUCCGCGUCGACUGGGAGGACGGCACUUCCAGAUGAAGACACAGAGAGUCAUCACUAGAAGAAGAUGUAACACAGGAAGUUGAUUUGGAGGAUGGAGACAGUGAGGAUGGAUCUUAAAGGCCUCGUGUUUGUGUGAGGACAUGUGGGCUGGACUCCUCCCCCAUAUGACAGGACCACAUGCCUGGGUCUUUGGGGUCUGUCAGCAUGGUCCCUCAGUGGAGGACACAGAGAAGGAGAUGAUCAAGAAGAAAACUGUGACACACCAGAGACUGACAGAAACAGUUCUUGAUGAACGCUGGUUAAAGAACGUCCACAAACAUCUCCAUUUCAGGUCUUCAAUAGUGUUACCACAAAGUACACACUGUGCUUCCAGGUCAACUGCAGAGCUGGAGUCCUUCCAGGACCACAUUCUGAUGUAUGCAGGCCAACGCUUCAGCUUCUCCCCACCAGUGUACAUGCUGGAGUCAUGCUGGCUGGCCUGGACUACAACCACCACGUCCACAGAGCAGCCAGGAGAACAGCUGAUGGCUCCAUACAUACGGCAAGGUUUACAAUAAAAGUCCAGGAAGUGGAGCCGGUACACGCUAAAGAAGGACUACAGCUACAUCCCAGACCUCCAGAGUGCAAUUCUGCUGAGUAGGUUGUCUGCUGCUGGAGGGUUACCACGACCAAUGACAGGAAGGCCCGAUGAUCCCCUUCCGGUGUCCCUUUCCCCAACCCCCUAGGAGCUGCUGCAGAUGCAGCUCAGCAGAGGACUCGGUCAACUUCUGCCAAACACAUCAACAGCAGCAGCUGACGUCCAGCUCACCUGGUGGACCCUGGAGGUCGUGGACAUGGUGUUUGUUUGUUUGUGUGUUUGUUUGUGUUUGUUUGUGUGUUUGUUUGUACUCAAGUCUUUGUGUUGUGUCUAAAUAACUUCAAAUAAACUGUGAUAUAUCAUCACCA